rnacentral:tRNA from 1 species
GGUCCCUUAGCUCAGCUGGAUAGAGCAAUCGCCUUCUAAGCGAUCGGUCGAGGGUUCGAAUCCUUCAGGGACCG